UUAUUGAUUAUUAUUGAUUUGGAAAUUAGGGCAAUGUUGUGUUGAUCUUUACCAAGGGUGAUUUGAAAGAAUUGAGCGAAGUGGUCGCCAAGUACAAGGUAUACCUGUUGGGGAGAAGAAAGUUCAGUGAAAUGGGUGGAAUCGGAAAAGAUAUUGGGAUUUAACCAACACAAUUCACACCAUUCUGAAAAGGCACGAGAGCUGCUUCAAUAGGGUUGUAGAGCUGCUGCGACGCUUUCGUGGUCAAUGGCAAAGCGGUUCUAACAGUUUGAAAUUAAAGUAAUUCUCGCCGACCUUGUUAGAGAAAUAUUUAUUCUUGGUGACAUAGUCAUGCCAAGCGAUUUUGUGCAUUUUGUUAAUUCUUCUUGAAUUCUGAGAAUAGAAUGAGAAUAGAAAUAGAAUGAGAAUAGAAUAUCGGUAUAAGUAUUUAUUUGUGUGUUUUAAAAUUUAAUUUACAUAGUUUUACUUUAUUCAUUUUUAAAGUAUUGAAGUUUGUAUAUUAUUUUUUAAGGGGAAAAAUCGAUCCGUUACAUCA